CGUCCAUACACAUACCCAAGCUAACACAAUAUGUUAGCACUCCUUUGUGCUAUAAACCUAGUAGGCACACUAUCAUGAUAGCUGGAAAUGAAAAUUUUUGGUAAGAACAUGCCUAUUCACUCCUCACAUCAUGAUUUCCAGAUUCCCCCUCAGAUUUAUACUGCAGCUCUGAGGCACUUUCAGUGAAAUAUGCUUAAAGUCUUGCUCAUACCUCCCUGGAGCUACACACUGGAGAGCACAGCCGUGUGUGCUGCACAGCUUGGGUACCAGAGCAAAAGCUUCUGCACUGACUGUUCAUGUGGAAGACAGUUACAAACAGUGAUGUUCAUUCUCCAGAUUAUAAAAGCUAAUGAAACAAAAGCGGUAUUUUGAAUAAUGAAGAACCCCAUAGACACAGAUGAAGCAUUUCAUUCAGAACAUAAGUUUGUUUUUUAUUUCCAAACAGAACUCAAAUGGGGCAAUACUGAAUUCCUAUGGCAAAACUCCCUUUAACUCAAUGAAGGCAGUCUCUCCUGUCACAAGCAUCACUGGAAUUCCAAAACCUGCCUGGAUAGGUGAGGGGAGAUCAGUGGAAUGUUGUUUAACUGGAGUUCAGGAAGGCUUUUGAUGCUAUCUCCCAUGAUAUCCUCGUAGACAAAGUCAGUAAGUGAAGGCUAGACAAGUGAACAGUGAGAACCAUCUGAACAGCAGAGCUCAGAGGGUUUUGAUCAGUGGCACAGAGUCUGGUUGAAGACCUGAAACAAGUGAUAUCCCACAAGGGUUUUGAUACUGGGUCCAAUCUUAUUCAACUUAUUCAUCAGUGACUUGUAUGGAGGGGUAGACGCCUCCCAGCAAGUUUGCUGAUGACACAAGGCUGAGACAAGCGGCUCAUACCCCAGAGGACUGUGCAGCCCUUCAGAAGGACCCCAACAGGCUGGAGAGUUGAGCAGAGAAGAACCUUCUGCAAUUCAACAAAGGCAAAUACAGGGUCCUGCCCCUGAGGAGGAGCACAGGUUAGACCUGCUGGAAAGCAGCACUGCAGAGAAGGACCUGGUUGUCCUGGUGGACAACAAGCUCUCCAUGUACUUUCCAUGUGCCCUUGUGCCAAGUAGGCCAACAGAAGAGCAUUGCCAGUAGGUUAAGGAAGGUGAUCCUGCUCUCUAUUCAGCCCUAGUGAGGCCAUAUAUGCUGUGCUGUGUCCAGUUCUGGGCUCCUCAGUACAAGAGAGACAUGGAGCUCCUGGAGCAGGUCCAUCAAUGGGCUAUAAAAAUGAUUUCCUCUUAUGAGGAAAAGCUGAGAGAAUUUGGCCUAUCCAGCUUUGAGAAGAGAUGACUGAGAGGAGACCUCGCCAAUGUCUAUCAGUAUCUGAAGGGAUGGUGACAAGAGGAUGGGCUGAGCUCUGUUCAGUGGUGCCAAGCAACAGGACAAGGGCAAUGGGCAGAAACUCAUUCACAACAAGUUCCACCUGAAUACGAGGAAGAACUUUUUUAUUUUGUCAGUGACCAAGUAGUGGAACAGAUUGCCCAGAGAGAGUGUGGAGUCUCCUUCACCAGAGAUAUUUAAAGACCAUCAGAACAGACGGAAGGACAGAAUGCACAGUGUUUUAUCUAAAGUUUCCAGAUAGAAGCACUGUCUUUUCCACUUGUGCCAAUUUCAAAAUGAUGCAGAAACCUCUAAGUUCCUCUGCUAACUAUCAAAGGAUUUUUCCAAGUAUCCCCAAACAUCAUUUUCUGAAGUAUGGACACAAUUCCAGGUCCUAAUCGUACUGCUAAAUGGAAGAGAUCACCUGAAUUUUCCAGGAAGCUGACAUUUAAAAGCCCUACUUGGAAGACCAGCUGGAUUAUAUUGGCAAAUACCUCAGGAAGGCAGAACUAAUUGCUCCAAUUAUUACUGGAAAGCCAGGUGGGAAAUUAGAAUGUGGGACCAAUUGAGGAUAGCUAAAACAUACUUAGACUUUAGAGAGGAAGCUGAUAAUGCUUAUGUUUAUGAGGCUGCUGUUGUUUAUCUUGACUCACUUUUUUCAGUGUGGGUUUUAGGCAUUAGUAGCAAGGCUAUUCCUAGCUUAAGGGAGCAUGUAUAAAAUAUAGACUUCUUUUUUAAAAAGAGGGAGGAUAAGGACUACUGUCAGUGCAAAGGCCUGAUUUAUUGUUAGGGAUCCUCUGUGACAGAAGAGUAUAUCUGGUCUUUUCAAUUCUUAAAAUCAACAUAUGACAGGCUAUCUGCAAGUGCUUUCAGUACUUGUGUUCUUAUUUCCUUAUGUCCUUUUUUUCCUCUGUAAUGUAGCAGCUGCUCAUGUGAGAAAUUACCCUUGCUGGUAUUUUCUGCUUUAAAUUUUGUUGGCAUUGAUUAAAAUUAUGCUGUCAAGUAGUAGAUGUCAGACCCUUGGUAGAAGGCAAUGGCAGAAAUCAAGGUUGUGAUUUUAUAUUAAAGACAGUUUAAACAAAGUCAGGUUGAAUUUUAGCCUUUUUAUUUAUAGAGAUAGUAGAGAAGUUUGGCAAUUCUUCUUCUUUCAAUUAGAUAUCUUCCUGGGAAAGGAUCACAUUUUAAUCAGUAAUAUUUUAUUUCACAAAAAGACCUCUUCUACAUGUAAAUCAGAAGAGCAAUAGGACUAUAAAAGCAGAUAUUACAGCCACUAAAAAUGGAUUUAAAAAAAGAGAUUAACAGGUUUAUAUUGCUCUUGAGGAAAGACAAUGAGAAGGUACAGCAAUUACUUUUGCUAUGUACAUGACAUGAACCCAAAAUCAAAAAAUGCAAUUCAAUCACUGUUCAAGUCACUGUUGGCAACAUUUCAGAUUGUUUGUAUUUCCCUUUCAAUCCAUGGAUCAAUAUCCAUUACAAUCAAGUUAACAGUCUCAUACUUGGUCAAUACAAGACUUUGUUGAUUCAAGAAAAAUACUUGCAAGUCCAGACUUUUUCCAGGUUCUCAUACAUUUUAGUAGAUGUUAGGAUUAAAUGUGCAAUAAUCCUGAAUUAUUUGAGUUAUUGGGAAGGCAGAAAAUGUCAAAGAUAGUAUUUGACCUAAAUAGGUGAUGCUUCCUGUGGUUUUGAGAUACCAGUCUCAAAAGGCCUUAAAAAGAAUUGGAUCAAGCCUUGGUCCAGAAACAUGGAACUAUUCUCUGCUGUGGUGAAAGUGACUGCUUCUGACUUGGUCAUUUAUUGCUGAUCUAUAUACUGUUAGGUAUACUGUUAGUUAUACUGCUAGGAGUCAGGAAUCAUAUUACAGAAGAUAAAAAUUUUCAGUCCAGUUCAGUUUAACUAAAUUUAAGAAAAACAAAUACGUGCUAGUUUAUGAUUUGUAGGUAAAUUGAAGAUUACUCUUGCUGUAACCUUCAGCAUGUAAAGGCACAGUUCCUCUGUCUAUUCAGUCACUUCCUGACAUAAAUAUAGGAAUGAGCAGUUGUAUGCUAUGUAAAGAUACUCUCAAUUUAUCUUGGAAAUAACAGUUCUCAGAUUCCUGCUACCCAGUACUAUACAUGUGACAUUCUGAUGUUGCUUCAGUAGUUGAAACAAUCCAAAGGCAAGAAACUAAAAAGGAAGUGGAAUUUUCCUGGCACAGAGUUACUGACUUAUCUGUUCAAAACACUGGAUGAAGUGUGAGAAAUGUGGGUGCCUGAUGCUCCUAAUCAAAGGUACAGAAGAAAUCACUGCUGAAGGAGGGAAAUGUUUUUAUUUCUGUAAGUGUCAAACACCUGAAUGGGCAGCAGUUCCCAGAACACCACUCACACUGAGCAGGCAUAGUUGCAGUUUGUGUGUUGAACCCUUCAAAAAUCAUAGUCAACUCUUCCAUAUCAAAGAGUCAUAGAAUGGUUUGGGUUGGAAGGGAUCUUUAAAGAUCAUCUACUUCCAAGCCCACCCCAUGGCAGGGACACCUUCCACUACACCAGGUUGCUCAAACCCCCAUCCAACCUGUCCUUGAACCCUUAAACCAGGGUUAGGGCAUCCGUCACUUCUCUGGGAAAGCUGAUCCAGUGCCUCAUCACCCUCACUGUAAAGCAUUCUUUCUUAUAUUCAAUCUAAAUCUACUCUCAGUUUAAAACCAUUGUCACUGUAGGCCCUGGUAAAAAGUUUUAGUCUUUUUUAUAAGUCCCCUUUAUCUAUUGCAAGGCCACAACAAGGUCUCCCCAGAGUUUUCUUUGCUCCAGUCUGGACAGCCCCAACUCUCUUAGUCUGUCUCCAUAGGAGAGGUGUUCUGUCUCUCUGAUUGUUCUAAUGCAAAAAAGUUUCUCAUCUGCAGUAAACCUCCUAUUUUCAGCCUGGAAAACCCAGACAUCAAAGUAUAGAUUUGUGCAUAUGCAAAAGUAUUUUCAAAUCUCAGUAACUGUAUCAUAAUUAUCUGUCAAUACAUUUCUUCAUCUUUCUUUUUCCUCCUCUUGUAACUUUCUGGUCAAAGGUCUAAUAUUAGGAUAUUUUUCACUGAACAUCCUCAUAAGGACUAAUAUUAUACUUCUGAUUUUUCAACCUUUGGAUUUAAAAGAAAUCAAAUUGCUAAUUUUUUAAGGUGUGAGAUUCAGCAAGCCCUUAGUCUGUUCUCAAUCAUACUACAGUGAGUCCUGUGGUUUAAAGAGUGUUACUCUAGCCUAGUUAAAGAGCAAGUAAAAGGAGAAUGAAUUCUUUUUUUGAGUUUUAAUUUCUUUGAAGAAUGUGGCAUUACUUAGCUGUGCCUGUUCUGUCUGUUUCAUGACUUAUUUGACUCAAGAGAGCUAAUCCACUUAUUGCUUCUGGGUACUCCUCUUCAAGAGACAGUGAGAUACAGUUGCAGGACAAUUUGCUCCAGGGUCUAUUCUGUGCAGAGAGGACGGAUGAAAAUUUCACCAGGACUGUUCAGAAAGCUUUAAAGGAACACUUACAAGUCAAAUGAUUCCCAGUCACUCUCUUACAGAGGUCAUGCAACUUUCCAAAAUGUUAUUAGAAUGACUCCCUAGAAUGUUUUAAGGUUUCUGUGGUAUUUUGAAUAUUUUUCUCAAAAAUAAAGAUUAGACUGCCUUAAUUAUUGAAAUAUGGAGAUAAGAAAUUAAACUUUUAAAACUGAAUUUCUUAGUUUGGAUGAUGAACCACAGAGCUCAAAAAUUAAGAAAAAAAGGGUGUUUUUUAUCUCAGAUUACACUGAAUAGGUUAAAUAAACCCCCCAGUACUGUAAAAUUUGUCUGUUAAAAUAUGAUCACAGAGCAUGUUUGGGGCUUGUUGUCAUUCUGUUUGCUUUUUGGGUUUUUUUUUCUUUAAUCUGUAAUUUAGGCAACUAAUAGGAUGAGAAAAAAAGAAAAAAAAAAGGAAAUCCUGAAAGACUUCACUAAAGGUUAUACUAAAUAAGUGCAUAUCUCUACUGUAUCAUCUUGUAAAAGUUCAGUAAGUACGUGUGCACUGUUAGAGUUUGAAAUAGUACAAAUAUAUUCCUUCUGUUGGCCUAUGAAAAUAUACCUACUGGGGCUUUACUAGAACACUCUGAAAAUUUCUGUUCAGGUUCAGUCAUCUGUAGAGGCAGAUAGUUUCUUACAUAGAGAACUUGGUUUUAUUAUGGUCAAAGGAUGAGGCUCAAAGGACCACUGGAAAGAUCACAAAGGCAGAACAGUGAAGAGAUGUUUUUGGUAUUCAGGACAUAGGUAUUCAUGGACUGGAAGGCAUUUAAAAAAAAAAAAAAGGUAAAAAGCCCCACUCUCUUGGAAGAUGUGGGUGAGGUACUACACUCUUCCUAUAGAAAGAUUAGAAUUUUCUGACCGAAAAUUCUCACAACAAUAAGGCCAGCCACAGAAGAUGACAGAAGCACGGUGAGUACUCAUUCCCUCAAAACCCCCCUGAAAAAUUCCUAAAAGAGUCUUUGUUUGAGAUGAACCUCAGUGCUUAUAAUGAUUGAAGAAUGAUAUUUUGCAUGCAUAUAGAGUCUUCAAAAGGGGACGAUCCAACAUUUCAACAACAAUUUGUAUGCUAUUUGUAUCUAUAUAUCUCUUCUACUAGAAAUAAUGGCCUCUUGGGAUUACCCAGUAAAGUCACACUUUUAAAAUGUAUGAAAAUCAUUUUUCCCAUAUAUUUUUUAAAUGGAUGAAUGGUUGGUAGGUGGAAAAUACCAUCUGGAACCUACUGGCUGAGCAACUUCAUAGGACAGAUAGACCAAUCAUGAUCUACAAUUGAAUCAAGAUAUUAAUCACGUGCUUUUAAUUGUUAGUUUCAAUCCUUACAUAGGUGCAAUUGGGCUUUUUGUAAUGUCUAUAACACUCCAACCAUGUAAUAAGAAAUCUUUGUACAAGGUAUAUUGCACUUUCUGAAACAAAUACAGAAAUUGGCUUGCAUAACUUAAUGAAAUGAAGACCACAAUAUGUAUAAUAAGAUUUGCUGAAGCUUAAGAAGAUGAAGUAUUUCAUCCACCCAGGGCAGAAUGCCCAGAGUAAGAUAGCAUGCAACAAUGCAUAUCAUAAAAAUACCUAAUACGGUGUCCAAGAACAAAACUCUGACUUUUUUUAUAUUAUUGAGUAGGAAAAAAAUACAGAAUAUGACAAGAUGAUAUAUUCAGAGAAACAAAGAUUAUCAUAGCCAUAAUCACAGUUGUUUAUAUUGACCAUUUGGUUUUGUCAGCAAAGUAAAUAGUACUGUUUUCCAGGAUUUACUUGUAGUUGUACUAAUACAGGUUAAUAGCAUAAAAACUAUUCCCAAAAAACAUUAACACAAGUGGGCCAACAAUUACAAAAGGAGCAUUUUUUUCCUGAUGAUUCCUCUUAUGUAAAUGCCUAAAUUUUGAUGUCAUACUCUCGUGAGCUGAACUCAAACCCUCUUGCUACAGUUUUGGUUCAGACGCCUAGAAACCAGUUUUCAUUGACAUUUGAGAUCCUACCUUGCUUUGGUCAGCUACUGGUCUUAAAGAUCCUCUAAGUCCCCUGCCAUAUUUGUCAGGCCUGCGUGAAUGACUUGGGUGACUAAAACAUUUCACGUAGCAGCAGAUCUGCAUGUUCAAGCAACUAAAUUGAUUCUGCACCAUUUUAAAGAGACUAACCCACUGGGUACUUUUUACAGAAGUUAUGCCCCAAGAAUAUUUGAAAAUGUAAAAAAAGAGUACCAGUAUUAAAAGGUUUUAAAUGUAACAGUAAGUUAUUAUUUGCAAAUAAGAAUACAAAUGUCAGCUAUGGGAGCUCUCUACAUUUAAUGAAAAAUGGGAAGGAAUAUUUACUUCCACUUAAUUGCAGAGCAUAUCUGGUCCACAACACAGAUAAGUGAACUACAGAAAAGACAUGGUUUUAAGAUUUUCAUUCAUUUUUAUUCAUCUAUAAAGACAAUACCGCAAUAAAUCUGUAAUACUGAAGUAAUUCUCAGUUAAUCUUGAGUUCCUCUAAAUUCUGAACAACUUCCCCAAAAUAUAUUUACAUGCUGAAACUGAAAUGCUUUUGAAUUGUUUUCCAGCUUUUAGUUUAAUUUAUCCUUUGACCUUUCCCCUCUAAGUCAGCUACAAAUCAGACACUAAAAUCCAGGCUGGCUGCACCAGCUUUUCUCAAUGGCAAAAAAAAUCCUCAACAAGAACCACUCAUUUUAUCAGACUAGGAGUUGUAACACUUAGAGUUCUCAAGGUAGCAGAGGUGAAUUGCAUCAUAAGUGAAAAUUAGGGAAUUGCAGCUCUUGAGUUAUUUGCAAGUUUUGAAGACAAGAAGAAACAUUAUUUUGGAAAGGUAAUUUCAGUGACCAAAUGUUGUAUACACAUCUUUCAGAAUGUUUCAAAAGGUGUUUUGGGUAUUGUUUGGUUUUUUUUGUUUAGGUUUGUUUGGGUUUUGGGGUUAUUUAAUAAUGCAAAUAAGAAAUGAAAAUAUUUUGUAUUUUUAGGCUCUGAAAUUUAAGAUCCAAGACAGAACCUAAGGGGCAACUUAUGAUGAACAAAAUUAUGAAAAGAUAUUUUUUUAGAAUUAUAAUUCUGGAUAAAACUCAUCAGGACCAAAAAAAAAUUAAAAUUCCCAACUUCUUAUUUUCAUCCCACCAUUUCUCUUUUAAAAAAACAGAUAUUUUUUUCAAAUGCUUAAAUAUACUAUUGAGAAAUUGAAGAUUGAUAAGCAGAUUAUCAAAAUAUUUUAUAUUUGAUAAAGCAGAUUAUCAAGUAUUUUUGUAUGAUGAAUACUAUAUAUGGAAAUAUUUAGUAAAAUGCAUAUACACAGGUAAGGAUUCUUGCUUUGGAAAAGAGAGCUUUACAGAUCUACCUGUAAAUUCUAAUUUGAUUUCUUCAACUCUGUGGAAUGUCAGACUGCUUUUACCUCAAAUAUGGAAACAGAAAUUAUUUCCCCAUGUAUAGAGAUUCUAGAAACCUGAAAAAUGUUGAUUUUUUUAAACUUAUUUAAGAUCAAUUUAUCAAUUAUAUGUAUAAAUUUCAAUGUAUAAAUUAACAAAUAUCUCAAAGCUGCAUUAAAAUCAAUCUAAAUGAUAAAGGUCUUAUUUUAAUAAAAUGAAGUUCAUGAUAAUUAAGUUUUAUAUUUGAGGUCAACAUAAACAUUCACUUGAAAGAACAUACCUUAUAUGUAAAGGGAAAUGGAAUUUUUAUAAUGUGUCCUUCAGUACGAAACACUCUUCAUUUUCAUGUAAUGAAAUCCAUCAUUACACACAAAAAAGAUAGCCACAUUCCCUACGAAAUUUUGAAAGUCAUUCUCAGGCACUUUCCAGCUCCAAUAUUACAAUAUCUCCUUCUUUGUCAGCACCACAUUAAGACCAAAAAUAAUCUCUCAGGAUUUCCCAAUCCAAUAAAGGCUUCAUUAUCGUGCAUCUGCAUUAAGUGCAGCAGCCAAGCCUGCUCAGCUAAUAUUUUUAUUUAAAAUUAAUGUUUUAUGUAAACACUAACAUUAAUAAUUGCUUUAUGAAGUAAAUAUUCUAAAAUGUUAUAAAAAUAAAGCCUGAUAGGCAUUAGAUAUUUCCUUUGAAUCCAAUAGUAUUGAGUCAGCUCCAUACUUUGUAUUUUUUAUUUGAAAAGCAAUGAACACCAGAAGACAGAUACUAUUAUAUAUUAUUCAUUGUUAUCUAACUAUUUAAUUACUUUAAAUAAACAGGUAAGACACCAUUCUCAUUUGAACUGAAGACUCAUUACAUUGGUGUUCUGUGUAAAGGGCCCCAGAGAAAAUUAAGGUCAGGAUUUUAUUCUACAAUACAAGGAAAGCAUAGACUAAUUUUUCAUAGCAAAUGAAGUAGGCAUAUCCUUCCUACAAACAUGGGGUACCACUGUAGAGCUGUUUGUAUUUCUUUUUACCUUCUGAAUCGGUUACUCCCACUCCCGACUGCUUUACUGGUUCUUGUCCAUUCUGGCUCAUCUUCCCUCUGUUAAAAGAUAUAGUGGUUGUCAUCAAUAAAAGCAUAUAGAGAUGGGAGCUAAAACAAUGAUACACUUAAGCCAACAAGGCUUGGUUCUUUUAAAAAUAUUAUCUUUUUGUCUUUUGAAGGCAGCUGCAAUCACAUCUUGCUAAGCCUGUACAUUCUUACAGAUUGGGUCCAUCAGGUUCUGUCUGCUCCCUGCCCCACAACAGUCUGGGGCUACAUAUCUUCUCAUUUUAUCUUCUUACAGUCAACAGUCAAAUAUAAAAUAAGCAGUCACAAAAAUUGAUAUUUGGUCUACAACACCAUUACUUCAAAGGUAAGACAUAUUUGUGGUUGUUCUUAAAUGAUUGCUUUACUUUACAGUUUUGAUUUAGCAUAAGAAACAAUUCUGAAGACUUACAUUAAUCUUAAAGUGAGUGAAAUAAACCAUGCUCUGGAUUUCCCUAUUUUCCUGCAUUUUAUGUAGAAAGAACCUGCAUCAGAAUCUUGAUGUCUAUUUUUAGGCAAUGAAAGUUAGGUAAAAUACAAGCUAUUCUUAAACAUACUUGUUGCAAGCUCUAAGACAUGAUUACAGUCAUUCUCAAACAUUUGUGCUUCUAGUUUUCUUUUUCCCUUAGGACUCCGAAUGCUGUGAUUGAGACUAUAAGGCAUUAUCUUCAGUUGCAUGUGAUUCCUUGGGGCUUAAAGGGUCAUGACUGUUCUUUGCUAUUUGUGAGCCAGCUUCAUGUCUGAAGUUGUUUAAAUUCAUAGGGAACUAAAAAAUUAGUAUAAAAUCACAGUUUUUAAAGUGAUUUUUUAUUCAGUUUUAACUGAAAGCUAUUAUUUUCUUCUUCUGUAGGUAAUGCUUCAUAAAUCAUGACAAAUAUGAUGCAAGAAUUAUUUGUCCCAAGGGUUGUAUUCCUUAUACAUUGUUCAAUUGCUUUUCACCUUUGCAUUCAAAAUAAAUUUAAUUUUACAGACAUUGUACUGCUAUAAAGGGUUACACAGGACAAAAGCAUAGAGAAUCUGGUCUCUAUCAGAGAUAAGAACAUGAGUAGCUUUCAGGGAUAUUACAACUGGAUAAUAAGAGUAUUUAAAAAAAAUCCAGAAUAGAAAGACUUUACGAGAUAUAUUCAGAUGUGUGUAACUGUAUAUAAUUAUUAAUUUCCCUUGAUAGUUAUAGCUAUUUAAUACUGGCAAGUAUUCUAAUUAGUUACCUCAUCAAACAAUUCCCACGGUGUCACUAUUUAAUUAUUUUUUUUUGCUUCAAGACUAAUUGUUCCUGUGGUUAAAAACACUUGGAUUAAAAUAAAGAGUUUAAAAUUCAGCAUAACCAACAAUUUCUAUUCAUAGACCAGAAACUUAGUCUAAACAGGGAGCUUAUAACCAAAAAGGUUUUUAAAUGCCAAGAUACCUAAAAAUGUUUAGCCUACUUGAUACUUCACACCCAAAUUGUGAUGAGCUGUUGUCUUAUAGAUGUGCUGAAUUACAGUACAAGGUCAGAGUCCCUGACGUCAUUAUCAAGCCAGUGUGAAAGCAAAUCUUGAGUAAUAUUUCAAUCAUACGUAUAUUCAGAUAAUUAAGACUUUUUAUACAGAAUUCAAAAUGGAAACAGUUAUCUAUUUUAAACAUCAUCUCCAUGAAUGAUCUGAUUGUAAACAGUUGUUUUGUUAUUCAUUUUCAUUAUAUUACUAUGUAAAACCCUGGAGACUAACAUGAAAAAUGAAGCAGGUCCUGUCUGUAUAAAUUUCCUGUGUAAUUUUAAAGACUCUGUCUAACAUCAGCAUAUAAAUAAUUUACUUUAAAAUGCCAUAAUAAAAAAAAAUAGUGUAGGAUAAAAAAAAUAAGAGACCUGGAUAUAUUUUAUUUAAUUAAAUAUGAUUAAUGAAAACAAAGUGCUAUAAGUGAAAAUCUGAAGCUGUGGAUACUUCCUCCUGCUUUUCAGUGGAAGUGGGGCUGAUUUCAGGCUUAAGAGACCAAUGAGUCUGUCAGCCAAAUAGCAAGUAACUGUAGAUACUGUCACAGUGCCAGCCAAUACAUAGAAAAUUAUGUUAUUUAGACUCAAAUUUGGCAUAUUUGAGCUGAAAAUUUCUGUUGAGAGCUCCAUCUUGUGUUUCUCUGCACAAAGAUUUUAGGCAUCUUUACUUUUCUCACUAGGAAUGACAGCCCCGUAUUUUUCUUUUGAGGUUGUCAGAGACUAUUAAAGAUCAUCUUUUUUUCCCCCUUUUAGCCUAGAGAAACAUGAGUGAAAAGUCCAAUGAAAAUCAAACAAUUGGCACCCUAAAGCCUGAGCUCACGUAAUCCUCCUAGAGUCUGAAGGUGAGGUUGAAGUCUUAGAUUUAUCUCUAUUUUCCCUUUAGUUACUAACAAGCUGUAGACAGAUACCAUUUGGCUUUAUUUUUGAAAAUGAUAAAUACUCAGAAAUAUCACAGUUCUAGAGAAUUUUUACUUCAAGUUUUUCUAGGAAGCUUAAGUCUUUUGUGACUAAUAGUUCACCACUUCAAGGGAAAAGCAAAAAACUUUUGUUCCAGAGAAAAAUAUUGAAUGACUCUUGCAGACAAUGAAUGAACAAUGACCACCAAAUAAUAUUUUGAGAACAACCAAUCUAUAAUUUUUUUUUUUGGCCAGAAUCAUUAACCUGAUCAGAAGUCACUUCCUCCUAUCAGGGAAUAUAAAUGAAAUUGCUAAGUGACAGUGCAUGCUGACAGAGUUGAGGGGAAAAAAUCCUGGCAAAACUUUUCUCUGUGGAGUACUUAACUGGGUAAGAGAUUUUGAAAGUUAAAUAAUUUUAAAGGAUCAUUACACUGAUAGUAGAUGGAUAAUUCCUACAGGGACUCUGUACCAAAAAGCUUUUUCCAGACAAGAACUGAGAAAUUCUACUGAAACUCCUAAAACUUGGGAGAAGUUGGGCUAUAUCCAGAGUAUGAGUUCCACUCGCACUGAACACCUCUUCAUAGAAGGAGGAAAAUCUGCAAACUUAAACUAAACUUUCUCAAUCCUACAAUAGUUGUACUUUUAAAACAUAAGUCAAGUCCAUCUCUACACACUUUCAUCAAAGGCUGAGACUAGCACAUCUCUUGUGUGACAAGAAGAAAUUCAUGAGGUUAAGACAGAGGUUUGGUUGGUUAUUAACAAUUCAAUGUUCAACAGAGCAGAAUAAAAGGAUGAACUCUAGGGAAUUCUCCCCACUUAGCUGCUCUUCUACUGCAUAACUCAAGUCUGCAGAGGACACUACAGAAAAUGACUGACAAGUGAAAGUGCUAUAAAUUGUGGAUGGAGGAUACAGUAUAUUAAAGGAAAAGCCUUACAUUCUCGGGAUGGGAAACAGAUUAUUCUCUCCUGUGGCACUGCUGCUGCCUUCGCUAUCCAUGCUGUAUCCACUGCCAAAACUACUGGCUGAUGAGCCAGUGGAGACAGAACUUUCUGCAGGUCGGUGAUUAGUAGACCUUGCUGUACAGGGCAGGAACAGUGGGUUACUAAAACACUUGUAACAUAUCUGUACCACUGACAUUAAGAAAAAAUGUAAUUUAUCAAAAUCACAUGCUGCAAACACUUUCACUUUUAUAUUUUACAUUCAAAUACUGCUUUAUCAUCUUUUGCAGAUGAGAUUUUUUUUUCAUAUAGAAUAAGGUGUUCUAAACCAAAUAGUACACCACCAUAUUGUUUUCUCCAGUCAUGUUAAUAGUUCAAAUUAACAGCCUGAGGGAAAAAAAAAAAAAGGGAUAGAAUGAUUAACACUGCUUUUCUGAUUAACGUGACAGAAAACCAGUUAUUCAUCUGAAACAUUUCAUAUGAUAAUCUUGUAAAAAUGAAAGCCCCAGUGGGCCUUCCUCACAUUCCUUGUGAAAUGUUCUUUGCAUUUGGUGAUUUUGAGGAGUUUGCACAGAUGUGUAAGCACACAAUCUAUGGUCACAGAGAAUAGAUCCCCACCCCUCUUCAGACAUAACACAGCUAUGCAUUAUAUUUCUCAACUGCUCCUACCCAGCUGGAUCUCUCUUACUACAUGCAUAGAAUUUUAAUGAACAUAUUUUGAUGGGAGAUGCCUUAAUCUAAUUUAAGACCAUUUGGUGUUAGUAGAGCAUACGUUAGUUUCACUUCAGGUUGCCUUAUUUUGUGUUUUGGACAUUACUGCACUACAUGAACAAAUCAUCCAGUAUUUGGCAUUUAGCAAGUUGAGAAAUAUAAACGAAAAAGGACACGGUGAAAUUACACAUAGCAAUUAAUACAGGAACAAUAGAGUAACUAUUCUCAUAUUGAAUAACACAAUUGUCUGGGGAUAUUAAUACAGAUUUGGGGAUUUUCUUGCUAAAUGUCCUUGAAUACAUCUGCUGUUGUCAUGUUCCAUCUACUUCAACCUACUGAGUGUAUACACUGAAGCUAGAAAAUAUUGUUUUGCAAAGUUAUUUUUUUGUGAAGACUUAAUGAGGUUUUAUGUUAUUUUGCUGAACAGUGAAACUUCUACGUAGGCAGUUAAAAGUGAUUCUUCCUUAAAAAAUAAAUUAGUCAAGUAUCUAACUGGAAAUUUAAUAAGAGCCAGAGCCCCAACAGUGUCUUACUUUAAAGUGGCAAUCAAUAUUUUUUAUGCAUGACUAACUGAAUAAUAUUUUUAGUGAAGACUGUUGCAUGCUGCCUGACAUGGGACCAGGAAGCUGAGUGUAACUCCUCAAACAUAAUGAAAAAGCAGGCACACAAAGAAAGACAUUGAACAGAGUGAGCACAGUGUGCCAAGAACAGAAAAAAAUAAAUAGCCAAAAAGGGAAGGACAGCAGGGAAAAAGGCAACAGAUGAACAUUAAGCUGCCAUGCUGAGGAAUUUAUUUGCGUCUUUUACUUGGUUGAAGGCGAAGCUGUUGCACAGCUGCUUCAGCAGCGGCGAUGGCUGCCCCAGCGUCUUCAAGGUGAGUUUGAGUGACACUGGUUUUGCUUUGGCUGCGAGAUGGACCGUGAGAGCGGAGAUGUCCUUCAGAAGAAGAUUUGGAGCUCCCUGGACUGCUGUGGGAUUUCUCAAUGGUGGGCACCUGCAUGUCUACCAGGAAAAUGAAGAAGCACAACUCUUGCAUUUAUUAAAAACAAACAAUUUCGUUCUCUUUCUCUCGACUGGUCUUUCUAGCUGAAUUCAAGAACAAGGAAUAAAGAUUAAGCUAUGCCAUUCCAUUUAAAGUAUCAGGAUAUAUCAUGAUUAGGAAACUCUUAUGAAGCAUCAUUUUCUACUUCCCCACUGUUCCCUGGCCCAGGGAAUAAUUUAUUUAGUAUUGGUUUUUUAUCACCUGUGAAUUAGACCUCCUGUGUUGGCUCAAACUGGUGGAAUGAUGCCGUAGCGUUUUCUGCUUUCUAUUCUCUAGUAAGUCAAGGCUUACCAGCAUCACCUACACCAGUACCAAACAUUUAUUGAAUGUCAGUUUAUCCUGAAUAAUGCUGCCAUGAAAAUCAUGGCCUAACUUACAAUAGCUACUAUACUUACCUCUAAUUCAGACAUCUUAUAUAGACACCAAUCCCUGGCAAAAUGUUACACAGAGAAAUAGAGAGGAGAUGGAGCAGAGUCUUGUCCCUCUGGGGCUCUCAUCUGGAUUGUAGAUGGAAUGGUUUUUGCUUUCAUAUGGCAUAGGAUGUGUUUUAAGAGAGCACCUGUCCACUGACUACUUAGUAUAAAAAAAAGAAUUAGAGAUAAAUUUCUUGGAGCAGGAGACACUGAGAUCAAUUCUGCUUUUGUAAACACCAAUGUAUAUCUACUAUAUCAGCUCCACUGAUUUCCAAUACAACGGAGAUAUGCAACAGUCCAUUAUUAUUGGCUGGAAAUGCAUAUUCAUUAUUGCAGCAUAAGAGUUGUUCUAUAAAAUAUUAACGUGCCAUUUUCAGAUGAAAAAAAUCCAUAGAAUAUUUAAGGAACAUGAAAAAUAGGAAGCUAAAUAGGUAUUGAAUUUUCCCAAGACUACCAAGAAAAUGAAAAGGGCACAGAAUCUACAGCAGAUGUGCAAAGAACGUAGGGUCUGUAAGCUGCUGUUUUAAGGACACAAUUUCUGAGUAAGCUGUCUGGAAAGAUUGAGACAAUUUAAGCCUUGUGUCCAAUUAAUUAAUCACAGAGAUAAAUGGAUUUUUAAUAAAAAUGUAUAUAAACUUCAUAGCAGUACCUUUAUUUUUCUUUUAGAACUUACACAUAGCAAAGGUUUUCCCAUCAUCUGGGAAAAUAUUUCAUAUCAGGUGCACCAAGUCAUUCCUACCCUUGGAGGGGUCCGGGAAGAUUCCAUGACUUCUGCUCUUGAUGACAGAUGGUUUUGGAGAUUGCUGGCUACUCUGUCCAGAGUGAGACUUCCCAUGAUCAAUGUUUUCACUCUGUUCUUUAAGAGGAUACCACCGAGGAGUGUUGUCAAGCUGAGAGAUGCUGGAUAACUCGAUCAAUACCUACAAAUAAAUCAAAGUAUGAUAUAUGGCCUAUAUCUGACCUAUUAAUGAUUGCAUACAGCAGAAGAGACUAGAGUUGAGUUCUCAGACGUUGCAGUCAAGUGUAAGAGUGAAGGGUAUAAGGCUGUGUGCUGACAGAUUCAGGAUUCUCUGGGCAUGCUGUGACCCCAAACGCAGAUUCAGUAGCAUAUUGAUGUGUCUGAACUAAUAUAUCUUCUCACCAGGACCUCAGUAAGGACUAUGAGCUGAGUCCUUAGACUGUGGCAUAGCUCCACACAAAGAUGACUGGGCAGUUUAGAGGGAAGCUUGUGAGCACUAGCUUGACAGCUACACUAAAAAGACAUUAAAAAGACAUCCAGCCAUUCUGCCUCUGGACAGGCAUAUUCUAAUAGGAGAAUCAAGCAGUGUAAUUUUCUCCCUUUUAUGAGUGCUUUUAAGGGGGGAAAGAGAUCUAUAUUUGUUUUUAUUAAGGUCAUCAAUAAAUUUUAAAGACUCAUGCUUCUUGAGUCUUUAAAAAAUCCACAUAUGUAGAAGCAGUGACAAAAAGAAAAAAAUCAGGGUUACUCUUGCAUUUCACUAAAAUAAUAGAAUUCAACAGACCAUUUAGGCCUCUAAACUUUACUGAG